rnacentral:rRNA from 1 species
GAUGAACGCUAGCGGCAGGCUUAAUACAUGCAAGUCGAGGGGCAGCAUGAGUGUAGCAAUACAUAUGAUGGCGACCGGCAAACGGGUGCGGAACACGUACACAACCUUCCUAUAAGUGGGGAAUAGCCCAGAGAAAUUUGGAUUAAUACCCCGUAACAUAAUGAUGUGGCAUCACAUUAUUAUUAUAGCUUCGGCGCUUAUUGAUGGGUGUGCGGCUGAUUAGAUAGUUGGCGGGGUAACGGCCCACCAAGUCUACGAUCAGUAGCUGAUGUGAGAGCAUGAUCAGCCACACGGGCACUGAGACACGGGCCCGACUCCUACGGGAGGCAGCAGUAAGGAAUAUUGGUCAAUGGACGCAAGUCUGAACCAGCCAUGCCGCGUGAAGGAUUAAGGUCCUCUGGAUUGUAAACUUCUUUUAUCUGGGACGAAAAAAGGCUAUUCUUAGUCACUUGACGGUACCAGAUGAAUAAGCACCGGCUAACUCCGUGCCAGCCGCCGCGGUAACAC